CUACUUUCUUGUUGUUAGUAUCCCAUAUUUGAUUCACCGUGGGAGACACUCGCUCUUUACCUGGCGACAUCUUUCUUUCCCAUGUAGCUUCCUUCGGAAAUCCUUGCUACUCGAUGACCUUACCAAUUCUGAAGUAGCACAGCUGUUCAUUGAUACAAAAAUGGAGACUAUAAGAAAAUGGACGUACAUUCGACGUUAUCGCAUGCUAUAAUACUUCGAAGUUUUGACGUAUUUUCAAUUUGACUGUAUGGUACCACGUAACUACGUGAUACUAAUAGCCGAGCCGAACUGAACGAGCACAGGUCGGCUAAAUGUUAGAAGAUACUCUCUAUCGAUCGUAGAUAUUGUCACCUGAACGAUAUCGCGGUGAACGUUGAUAAAGGUAUUUAUUUUCAGAUAUUCUUCGGUAAAAAUGAAUGGAUAAGCUAUCCUGGAACUGGAAUAAUAUCAGCUUCGAUGAGCAAUCCACAAACGAAUCUAUUUCAUUGAAUACGAGAGCAGCAUAAAGUUGAAAAAGUUUCAAACCGUCAGCCGAAUUACCACACCGAGUGGCCAAGAGUUAAUUUGGAGUAAUUGCGUUACGCGUCAACGGGGGUCACGUAAACGUUUUUCAUCAUCGUCUCGACGCGUAUCUGACCUAGACGUCAUUGAAUAAAGAAAUGGCUAAUUAAAACGUAAAUGACUGUGAUCAACAACGAGCUGACUCGACUUUAAGGACGCACAAAAGGUAGAUUUAAUUGACGCUCAUUUACUACUCGAAGAGAACAGGAUAUCACAGUAUUCAGCUACGGAUUAAAACCUGGACGACGAAAAGAGACACUGACUCAACAAUAUGCGUCUCCGAUCGCGAAACGCAAUUUCUUCGCCCAGCGGAGUCCUCCGUUUCUAACGAUACAGACUUUAAUCAGAAUUUAUUGUCGGGAAUUUAUAGUUCACGGCCGAUCAAUGUUCCUCCUGAUAGGCCCUGUUUAUGAGAACAUCUAACCGCUUCAUGAUCGAAGGAGACGCAAAACAAUUGGCGUCAUCGAAUUCGGAAAAUCAGUCGCGAGCUUCGAUCGUUCGCGCACGAUCUUGUAUUUUCUCGAAGAAAAUUUUAUGAAUUUAGCAUGAAUGGUCGUGCACUAGUCCGGGAGAAAUUAGUUUGAGUACGAAUUCAUCCGACCGCGCUAACUCAUCGGCGUAUUUUGACGAAUCCCUAUAAAUAAUUGUACUCGUCACUAGACCAAGGCCUAACCUCGUGCGAUUCCUCGAAGUAUUUAACUGUUUAACAACGCUGCGUAGAUAAUUUCACGUGUCGCGGAAAGUAGUGUCAUCCACUGACAACGUACGAGGUCAUCCGUCAACGGGCCAUUUUCAGAAGUUUCUGGACAAAUUACAAUAUUCCCCAACGCAGGCGAAACGUUAAUAGUAAGAAGUAAAC